AUGGCUUCCUCUCUUGGAGGUCAGAGGCUCAAAGGCUUCGCACAACGACCUGCUAGUGGCACUCGUGGUGGCAUCCUGCUUCUAUGGGACGAAGACCUCGUCGAGGUUAAGGACAUUAACACUGGAACUUUCUUCCUCUCGGCUACAAUCACCAUUACCCGUACUGACACUUCCUUCAAGUUCACUACCGUCUAUGGACCAACUCGCAGCAACCUCAAAGACAUUUUCUUCCAAGAGCUGAUCUCUGAGAAGCCUACUCCUGGUACUAGAUGGCUGCUAGCCGGCGACUUUAAUCAGAUUUACCGCACAAGAGACAAGAACCGCGCUAACAGUAAUCGAAGCCGAAUGACACGCUUCCGCAACACCCUCAAUACCUGUGAGCUAAAAGAAAUACACCUUCAAAACAGGAAGUACACUUGGAGUAAUGAGCAGAGUGAUCCAACCUUAUGCAAACUCGAUUCGUUUUUCUGCAAUGAAGAUUGGGACAUCGACUUUGGCAGUCAUCUACUUCAUGCCCUUUCUUCAUCCCUUUCUGACCAUUGCCCUCUCCUUCUCGCAAAUGUCCAAGGACCACCUAAGUCAAAGUGUUUCCGCUUUGAGAACUUCUGGACUAAAAUGCCCAGAUUCAAGGAGAUCGUACAAGGCGCUUGGAACCAAAGGGUGAACCACUCUGACCCCUAUCAGAUCCUAUUUCACAAGCUCAAGAAAACCAGCCAAGCUCUAAGGAAAUGGAGCAAGACAAUUUUUACACACUCAAAGGUGCAGCUGUUCAUGGCUUUGGAGGUCAUUCUCCGCCUAGAUGUGGCGCAAGAGCUUAGGCCUCUCAGUGCGGAGGAGCGUGAUAUU
rnacentral:rRNA from 1 species